UGGGGAAUAUUGGACAAUGGACCGAGAGUCUGAUCCAGCAAUUCUGUGUGCACGAUGAAGUUUUUCGGAAUGUAAAGUGCUUUCAGUUGGGAAGAAAGAAAUGACGGUACCAACAGAAGAAGUGACGGCUAAAUACGUGCCAGCAGCCGCGGUAAUACGUAUGUCACGAGCGUUAUCCGGAUUUAUUGGGCGUAAAGCGCGUCUAGGUGGUUAUGUAAGUCUGAUGUGAAAAUGCAGGGAUCAACUCUGUAUUGCGUUGGAAACUGUAUAACUAGAGUACUGGAGAGGUAAGCGGAACUACAAGUGUAGAGGUGAAAUUCGUAGAUAUUUGUAGGAAUGCCGAUGGGGAAGCCAGCUUACUGGACAGAUACUGACGCUAAAGCGCGAAAGCGUGGGUAGCAAACAGG
rnacentral:rRNA from 1 species